AUUGAACGCUGGCGGCAGGCCUAACACAUGCAAGUCGAGCGAGCGGCGGACGGGUGAGUAAUGUUUGGGGACUGCCCGAUGGAGGGGGAUAACUACUGGAAACGGUGGCUAAUACCGCAUAAUAUCGGAUAACCCCAAUGGGAUUAGCUAGUAGUUGGGGUAAAGGCUCACGUAGGCGACGAUCUCUAGCGGGUCUGAGAGGAAGAUCAGCAAAACUGGGACUGAGAAACGGUCCAGACUCCUACGGAGGCAGCAGUGGGUAAUAUUGCACAAUGGGCGCAAGCCUGAUGCAGCCAUGCCGCGUGUAUGAAGAAGGCCUUAGGGUUGUAAAGUACUUUCAGCGGGGAGGCGUUACCCGCAGAAGAAGCACCGGCUAACUCCGUGCCAGCAGCCGCGGUAAUUC
rnacentral:rRNA from 1 species